rnacentral:rRNA from 1 species
UACAGAGGGUGCGAGCGUUAAUCGGAAUUACUGGGCGUAAAGCGCACGUAGGUGGCGACGUAAGUCGGGUGUGAAAGCCCCGGGCUCAACCUGGGAAUUGCAUUCGAGACUGCAUUGCUGGAGUACGGAAGAGGAGGGCGUAAUUCCCGGUGUAGCGGUGAAAUGCGUAGCUAUCGGGAGGAACAGCAGUGGCGAAGGCGGCCCGCUGGUCCAGUACUGACACUCAAGUGCGAAAGCAUGGGGAGCAAACAGG